ACACUAUGUUUAGACAGAGUUUUAAAACAAUCAGCAUCCGGCCCAAACAUCUGAUAAACUGUAAGGCAGGAAUAGGUACUUUAAUUUUAGAGUAACUAUGACUGAUUUCCUCUCCUUGCAGGUCUGCGGUUUCUUGUCCCCAGGAUCCAGUAUUGAAGGGGAGCAAGUAGCCACUGGACUUUGCAUAGACUGAGGAAGAAAUGUGAAUGUCUUUUUCUUCUUUGAUGAACUCUCUCGACUUCCAUCACUGUCCAUGUGUCCCAGGUCUGUUUCUUUGUUCCAUGACACAGGAACCUGGAAAUAUCAGUGGGUGUCCUCCAGGUCCACACUCACACCUUCAAAUAUCCAUUCUGGAUACAGGUAUCCAAAUAGCCUUGUAGCGGAGCAGUCUCAGCUAAGAGUUUAUAGCAGCAGGAACAGUUUCAGAUGCAACGUCAAUGUCCUUUGCAGGCCCCUGUGAACUCUGGAUGAAAAAGAAGAAGAAAUCCAAAUCCACAGCAGCACAUUGUUGGCAUGUUAUUCUGGGCUUCAUUUUCAGCUUUAAAAGCUUUUCCUCAGUGCUGCCUGCCAGAAUGAGACACAUGCAAACAGGACUGAAACCCACACCUGGGAGUCGCACAUGCAUGACCACUGAAAAGUUCAGACUCUGCGUCGAACAAAGCAUACCCUUGGCUCAUUGAAGUUGCGCCAGGAAAAGGGCAC
rnacentral:lncRNA from 1 species